rnacentral:rRNA from 1 species
GGAGGGGGAUAACUACUGGAAACGGUAGCUAAUACCGCAUAAUGUCGCAAGACCAAAGAGGGGGACGUUCGGGCCUCUCGCCAUCAGAUGUGCCCAGAUGGGAUUAGCUAGUAGGUGGGGUAACGGCUCACCUAGGCGACGAUCCAUAGCUGGUCUGAGAGGAUGACCAGCCACACUGGAACUGAGACACGGUCCAGACUCCUACGGGAGGCAGCAGUGGGGAAUAUUGCACAAUGGGCGCAAGCCUGAU